rnacentral:tRNA from 1 species
UCCUCGGUAGCUCAGUCGGUAGAGCGGGUGACUGUUAAUCACUAGGUCCGCGGUUCAAGCCCGUGCCGAGGAGCCA